rnacentral:tRNA from 1 species
CAUUGAGAAGCUAAAUAGCACUAACCUUUUAAGUUAGAAACUGAGAGUCUAAGCCUCUCCUUAAUGA